rnacentral:rRNA from 1 species
UACGUAGGUGGCAAGCGUUGUCCGGAUUUACUGGGUGUAAAGGGCGUGUAGCCGGGCUGACAAGUCAGAUGUGAAAUCCGGGGGCUCAACCCCCGAACUGCAUUUGAAACUGUUGAUCUUGAGUAUCGGAGAGGCAGGCGGAAUUCCUAGUGUAGCGGUGAAAUGCGUAGAUAUUAGGAGGAACACCAGUGGCGAAGGCGGCCUGCUGGACGACAACUGACGGUGAGGCGCGAAAGCGUGGGGAGCAAACAGG